rnacentral:rRNA from 1 species
AUUGAACGCUGGCGGCAGGCCUAACACAUGCAAGUCGAGCGGGGUUUUCGGACCUAGCGGCGGACGGGUGAGUAAUGCGUAGGAAGCUACCCGACAGAGGGGGAUACCAGUUGGAAACGACUGUUAAUACCCGCAUAAUGUCUACGGACCAAAGUGUGGGACCUUCGGGCCACAUGCUGUCGGAUGCGCCUACGUGGGAUUAGCUAGUUGGUGAGGUAAUGGCUCACCAAGGCGACGAUCCCUAGCUGGUUUGAGAGGAUGAUCAGCCACACUGGAACUGAGACACGGUCCAGACUCCUACGGGAGGCAGCAGUGGGGAAUAUUGGACAAUGGGCGCAAGCCUGAUCCAGCCAUGCCGCGUGUGUGAAGAAGGA